rnacentral:rRNA from 1 species
AUUGAACGCUGGCGGCAUGCCUUACACAUGCAAGUCGAACGGUAACGGGCCUUCGGGUGCCGACGAGUGGCGAACGGGUGAGUAAUACAUCGGAACGUGCCCGAUCGUGGGGGUUAACGAGGCGAAAGCUUUGCUAAUACCGCAUACGAUCUACGGAUGACAGCAGGGGACCGCAAGGCCUUGCGCGGACGGAGCGGCCGAUGGCGGAUUAGGUAGUUGGUGGGAUAAAAGCUUACCAAGCCGACGAUCUGUAGCUGGUCUGAGAGGAUGAUCAGCCACACUGGGACUGAGACACGGCCCAGACUCCUACGGGAGGCAGCAGUGGGGAAUAUUGGACAAUGGGCGCAAGCCUGAUCCAGCCAUGCCGCGUGGAGGAUGAAGGCCUUCGGGUUGUAAACUGCUUUUGUACGGAACGAAAAGCCUUCUUUUAAUACAGGAGGGUCAUGACGGUACCGAAAGAAUAAGCACCGGCUAACUACGUG